UACAGAGGGUGCAAGCGUUAUUCGGAAUUAUUGGGCGUAAAGAGUACGUAGGCGGUCUUGUAAGUCUGGUGUGAAAUCCCUGGACUCAAUCCAGGAAGUGCAUUGGAUACUGCUUGACUAGAGGAUAGGAGAGGAGAGCGGAAUUCCUGGUGUAGAGGUGAAAUUCGUAGAUAUCAGGAGGAACAACAGAGGCGAAGGCGGCUCUCUGGACUAUCACUGACGCUGAGGUACGAAAGCGUGGGGAGCAAACAGG
rnacentral:rRNA from 1 species